UACAGAGGUCUCAAGCGUUGUUCGGAUUCAUUGGGCGUAAAGGGUGCGUAGGUGGCAUGGUAAGUCGGAUGUGAAAUCCCGGGGCUCAACCCCCGGAACUGCAUUCGAUACUGCUGCGCUAGAGUACUGGAGAGGAGAUUGGAAUUUACGGUGUAGCAGUGAAAUGCGUAGAUAUCGUAAGGAAGACCAGUGGCGAAGGCGGAUCUCUGGACAGUUACUGACACUGAGGCACGAAGGCCAGGGGGGCAAACGGG
rnacentral:rRNA from 1 species